UACGGAGGGUGCAAGCGUUGUCCGGAAUCACUGGGCGUAAAGCGCACGUAGGCGGCCUGAUAAGUAGGGGGUGAAAUCCUGAGGCUUAACCUCAGGGCUGCCUUCUAAACUGUCGGGCUCGAGCACAGUAGAGGCAGGUGGAAUUCCCGGUGUAGCGGUGGAAUGCGUAGAGAUCGGGAAGAACAUCAGUGGCGAAGGCGGCCUGCUGGGCUGUUGCUGACGCUGAGGCGCGACAGCGUGGGGAGCAAACAGG
rnacentral:rRNA from 1 species